GGAGGUAGUGACAAUAAAUCACAAUGCGAGACUUUUAGUUUUGCAAUUGGAUUGAGAACAAUGUAAAACUUUUAUCGUUAAGCCAUUGGAGGGCAAGUCUGGUGCCAGCAGCCGCGGUAAUUCCAGCUCCAAUAGCGUAUAUUAACGUUGUUGCAGUUAAAAAGCUUGUAGUUGAAGUGAGGGUGUGUGUGUUGUGAUCGAAUCGAUCGAGAGCAGUACAACCUCCCCCUUCCAAUGGGUGUAUUGGGGUAUUCAUUUACUUCAUUACUCCUUUGGUCGUUUACUGUGAGAAAAUUAGAGUGUUCAAAGCGGGCGUUUGUUUGAAUAGAUUAGCAUGGAAUAAUGAUUGAAGGCUUUCGUGUUCGAUUUGAUUGGUUUGUUCAUGGAAGCAAGGUUAAAAGGAACAGUUGGGGGUAUUCAUAUUCACUAGUUAGAGGUGAAAUUCUCGGAUUUAUGGAAAAUGAACAA
rnacentral:rRNA from 1 species